CAGCAGCCGCGGUAAUACAGAGGGUGCAAGCGUUAAUCGGAUUUACUGGGCGUAAAGGGCGCGUAGGUGGUUAUUUAAGUGAGAUGUGAAAGCCCCGGGCUUAACCUGGGAACUGCAUCUUAUACUGGGUAACUGGAGUGCAGUAGAGGGUAGUGGAAUUUCCGGUGUAGCGGUGAAAUGCGUAGAUAUCGGAAGGAACACCAGUGGCGAAGGCGGCUACCUGGACUGAGACUGACACUGAGGCGCGAGAGCGUGGGGAGCAAACAGGAUUAGAUACCCCCGUAGUCCCUGUCUCUUAUAA
rnacentral:rRNA from 1 species